rnacentral:rRNA from 1 species
CUACGGGAUGCUCCAGUGAGGAAUAUUGCACAAUGGGGGGAACCCUGAUGCAGCAACGCCGCGUGGAGGAUGACGCAUUUCGGUGUGUAAACUCCUUUUAUAUGUCAAGAAAAUGACGGUAGCAUAUGAAUAAGCACCGGCUAACUCCGUGCCAGCAGCCGCGGUAAUACGGGGGGUGAAGCGUUACUCGGAAUCACUGGGCGUAAAGGACGCGUAGGCGGGUUGGAAAGUCAGGUGUGAAAUCCUACAGCUUAACUGUAGAACUGCACUUGAAACUUCUAAUCUAGAGUAUGGGAGGGGGAGAUGGAAUUAGUGGUGUAGGGGUAAAAUCCGUAGAUAUCACUAGGAAUACCUAAAGCGAAGGCGAUCUCCUGGAACAUUACUGACGCUAAGGCGUGAAAGCGUGGGGAGCAAACAGGAUUAGAUACCCGGGUAGUC